UACGGCCUUUUCGAGCAGAUACAAAAUCAAUCGACAAAUCAGAUUCGUUUAUUUGCGUGACGUGUUCUUCACGAGCAACGUCACUCUUGCGCGUCGAAAGUCGUCUCUUCAACAACACAGAUGGUGAACGGCAGAGCCGAGAAUAUGUUCCAGUCCACGGUCCCUCGUCCUGCCGUCGCCAUUUUACUAACGUCACGUCUGCCCGUCGCUGAUUGGUCCACUCCGCUGUCUGUUUGCUGUGGCUUGCUCCGCCCUGGAAAUUGUAUCCGAGUGAAUGGUGGCCAGACUCAAUAGCUGGAACAGCGCUCUUACAGUGUGAUUACAUCAAGGAUGGAAUAAAAGUUGUAAACCAUCAGUUUAAGAGACCAUCUUUUCAAUCGGGAUGCUACACUAGUUAAUUCUAUCAGCAUUUGAAGUCAUUGUUUAUUUGUGAUUUAUUAUUGUUAUUUACGUGUUUAUUUGUACUUUAGUAAAUAAUUUAGGUGUUUCAAUAUGUUUUUUGUGAAUUGAUAAGUGUCAACAAAAAUUUCAUUGCU